AAAGGCGAGGGGUGUGAGGCUCCACAAUAAUUGGCAUCAAAUGCUGCCUUAUUGGGAUUCUCACUGUUGCUGAAUUCCAAGAUCUGCAACAACACACUACAACAAAACCUGGAAAAUUAAAUUCAUAAUUUUCUCACACACCAACGCAUACAUUCACUCUCUCUUUCUCUCUCUUCCCCCACCCACCUUUUUGCCCCCCUUCUUCGCCUUCCCAUUGGCAGAUACCCUUCUUUCUCCAUUCUCUCUCCUCAAUUCACAAUAAAGCAACACACUUUAAAGUAGUAGCGUUGGUGGUGCUUGGGUUUUUUGUUUUGUUUUGUGGGUAUUUUAAUUUUUCCAGGAAGAUAAAAAAGAUAUCUCAUAAACCCUCUUCAAUUAGGGCUCUUACUAUUUUCACCCUUUUCAAUUUUUCUAGAGGUGUAGAGUUCACGCAAUGUGAGUAUGUGACAUUUGAAAGUACGAUUCUUUUGCGGGCGUAGUUCUUUGUGAAUUUUGUGAUUGGAGCCAGUAGAGAUGGCAGCAGAGUCUAAUACAAGCUUUCAUCAGGAAGACGCCAUAGCUGCUAGUUUGCAUCGACAUGCUAUAUCGUUUCAGUCGGGGGCAGUAAAUAGCACGUCGGAGAUGAUCCCGAUUGGUAACUAUUAUGGGAUGAAUAAUAGUAAUGGAAAUCUAAUGUUUUGCGACAAUUCUAGCAUCAUUAGUAGUAGCAGUCCCACCACAACUCCUGUUGGCAGUUCAUCUGGUACUCUUCUUUUGGAUUCGGUGCCUGGGCUAAAGCACGAUGCUGGCCUCGCUGUUGAGUGGACAGAGGAAGAGCAGUACAAAUUGGAAGAUGGCCUUGUCAAGUAUAAGGAUGAGCCUAGUAUCUUGAAGUACAUCAAAAUUGCAGCUCUUUUGCGAGACAAAACUGUACGUGAUGUUGCUCUCAGAUGUCGGUGGAUGACGAGAAAGCGGAGAAAACAAGAAGAAUCACACUUAGGAAGGAAGGGAAAUUACAGAAAGGAUAAAUUCGUGGAAUCAUCUUCAAAGACUAAUUUACCAUCACCGUCAAUAUCUAACAUGAACAUGACUCCAUAUUCUUUUCAGCCGAAUCAGAUGGAUCAUAAUCAGCGUGUAAAAUGCCAAGUGUUGACCGGGAAAGCUAAGCAUCUAUUGGAGCAGAAUAUUCAAGCCUUAAAUCAUAUUAACAGUAAUAUAUCAUUGCUGAAGUUGCAGGAUAACAUUGAUCUCUUUUGUCGUACUAGAGACAACAUUAACAAUAUCAAUGCCAUCCUGAAUGACAUGAAAGAGCUUUCAGGAAAACUUGGCCAGAUGCAAGAGCUUCCAAUAUCUAUUGAUCAGAAUCUUGCAAAUAGUAUCUUGCCGCGUGACAAUUCGUAGUAAUGAAGAAUGCUGCCAUCUAAUGCUGAUCUCAUGCAAUCUUCUUUCCUUUCAUAUUUCACCCUUAGACAAUGAUGUUUGGAAUGCAUAGAGGAUUGCAACCCAAGCUGGAGUCAAGAUGUUGAUAGAGGAUUCGCAGGAGUAUUGGGUGAAGAUCUGAACUACAAGUACAGAAGCUUUUGCUGUAAAUUUAGUUAGGACCUUCUUUAUGUUGUGUACGAUUCAGUUGCAUAUAUUGGGUCUGUGUGUAGAGAACACAAUUUUGAACCUGCCGGUUGACAUCAGAAGAAAAUGGAAUCUGGGCAUCACGUCACAUCAUGAAAUUGCAGAGGUUGCCGACUACUUAAGAAGAACACGUGUCUCAGAGCACUGGCCAUCCAUUCUGUCUCUUGAUCUGGAGCUGAACUGUGUAUAGGAUGAUGUCACUGAAAAGUAUUAAGUAACGAAAAUAACAGGCUAGGGUUGCCAUUUACACUUAUAACCCUGUUCUUACCCCCAAUAGGUCAGUGUGAUGGUAGUUGCUAGGUCUCGAACAAGGAUGAUUCUGUAGCUUUCGUUUGAGCAUUUCGCCCUAAGAAGCUCUAUUUUAAUUUUAUUGUGUAUUAUGGUGGAUGAGUAGAACUAAUUUCUCCAUCUUUGUGCUGCUGCCAAAGACAAGACAUUGUUGUAGAAGUUGUACUGAUCUGAUAUUUAUUUUUUUUCUACAUUGUAAUCUAAUUUUCUCACUGAAUUGGCCGAAAAGUUAUCAAUUAGCUGUUCAAAUGUUGAUAUUAGAACAAUUGUUUUUGCAAGUUUA